AGCAACAUGUAGCUCAGUGUUCAGCGAAUUCUUUUGGACUAUUUAAUCGGGCCUCUUAGUCUUCUUCCAUGAGGCUUUUCAAAAACCAUCAGCUAUUCGAGGCGACGUGAGUCUAUUCCGCC